UCCCGUCGGCCCUCGCGGUGCGCGUGCGCCUCGGAACAGAAGUGCGAAGUUGACUAAGGCAGCAGACUAUCAGGACACAUCCUUGAAAAGAAUUGGAGGACCAUGGGCCCUCCCCACUCACCUUUCCCCGGUCCUCCUAAGGAGAAAAGUCUGGCUGUACCACUCGAUGUUCUGCCUCUCCACAAACCACAAGCAACCAGGGCUAUUGCUUGUGGACUGGAACUUGCACAGCUGUGAACCAAAAUAAGCCUUCGCCCUUUACAAGUGGCUCUGGAAAAUGCAGGCGAUGGAGGAAGCCUGGUGACGAGGAUGGAAGAGCUCUCUCCACUGCACACACCCUACAUGCAUCACAAUUCAGCGAGCUUUAAAAGCCCAGCAGGCCACAGACUCAGGUUUCAGAGCACAGCAAAAAGUCAAAGUUAAAGCCAAAGUCAAAGAAAGAAGCACAGCACGGAAGAAGGAGAAGGGGAAGUUGCUGAGCAGUCCUGUGACUCAAGCAAACUACGUCCCAGGGCAGAAGAGCAGAAGACCUGGGGAGUAGCAGGGAAACCAGGAGAGAGAAGAGAGCCCAGGCCUGAUGAAGAGAGCACGCCCGCCCCGGAAGCCAGCAGGGCAGCCCUGCAGAGGAGAGCUGGAGCUCGCUGACUCUGACACUGCUGCCAGUCCUGCCGAUCGCCCGGCUGGUCACUGCAUAAGAAUUGUAGGACAUGAGAAGUCAACUGGCAUUUGUUCCCUGCUCCUUCAUGACCACUGGACGUGGUAUUUCACCUUCCUUUUGUUCAGCGAUUAUUCAGCUUCCAUGUAUUUUUACCUGGAAACACCUUCAGCUAAGAAGGUGAAAGAGGAUUUUUAGAGAUGGCAGCCGCCCUUUGAAACAGCAUACUAGGGGCUCAGCAGUCUGUUAAGAUGUGUUCUGAAAAUAAGAGACACUCCAGGCAGAGAGCCCCACACCUUCCAUCCCGCCACUCUGGGAGGCUGAGGCAGGAGGUUUGCAAGUUCCAGCCCAGCCUAGGCAACUUAGUGACUUA